rnacentral:rRNA from 1 species
CGGACGGGUGAGUAACGCGUGAGAAUCUGGCUUCAGGAUGGGGACAACAGCGGGAAACUGCUGCUAAUACCCAAUGUGCCGAGAGGUGAAAGAUUAAUCGCCUGAAGAUGAGCUCGCGACUGAUUAGCUAGUUGGUAGGGUAAGAGCCUACCAAGGCAGUGAUCAGUAGCUGGUCUGAGAGGAUGACCAGCCACACUGGGACUGAGACACGGCCCAGACUCCUACGGGAGGCAGCAGUGGGGAAUAUUCCGCAAUGGGGGCAACCCUGACGGAGCAAUACCGCGUGGGGGAGGACGGCCUUUGGGUUGUAAACCCCUUUUCUCAGGGAAGAACACAAUGACGGUACCUGAGGAAUCAGCCUCGGCUAACUCCGUGCCAGCAGCCGCGGUAAGACGGAGGAGGCAAGCGUUAUCCGGAAUUAUUGGGCGUAAAGCGUCCGCAGGUGGCCUAUCAAGUCUGCUGUUAAAGCCCAGGGCUCAACCCUGGAUCAGCAGUGGAAACUGAUAAGCUAGAGUGCGGUAGGGGUAGAGGGAAUUCCCGGUGUAGCGGUGAAAUGCGUAGAGAUCGGGAAGAACACCAGUGGCGAAAGCGCUCUACUGGACCGCAACUGACACUCAUGGACGAAAGCUAGGGGAGCGAAAGGGAUUAGAUACCCCUGUAGUCA